UUGGACCUGAUAUCAGGCAAGAUUACCCGCUGAACUUAAGCAUAUCAAUAAGCGGAGGAAAAGAAACUAACAAGGAUUCCCCUAGUAACGGCGAGUGAAGCGGGAAGAGGCUCAAGCUUUAGAUU
rnacentral:rRNA from 1 species